UCGUAAUGAUAUCAUUAACUACAAAAUGAGAUUCUUGGUUCUAUUUUCUGUGCUCUUUGCGCUCUUGUGUGCCGCGAUGGGUGAAUUCGACUACACUGCAAAUUAUGCCAGACUUGCUUCCCAACUUCCACCCAAUGCCGACGUCCGAAAUUUGGUUAAAUCUCUUCAUGCAGCUAGAAACUUACAUCAACAUCAAUAGCUAUUCGACAUCUCAUUGAAGUAAAUAUGACUUCAAAU